AACAAUAACCAAACCCACUUAUCCUAUGGUCAUCUCCACUUGGUGAGUGCUGGUUUGGACAGCAGAGCAGUUUUUGGGCACACUUGCUAGAUGCCUUGAGAACACUGACCCAGAUGGUCCAUUCCAGGGACACAGCAAAUGUGUUUCUACCUGAGCAGGGACAUGGGGAUCUAACCCAGUGAUGGCUCCCUGGAAUAGCUUCCAGUCAAAAAAUAUGGGCAAGUUUGGUCCAAAUGACAUUGGGGACCAGACUUAGUCUAGGCUAAAGUAAACACUUGAACUGUGUAUAUUGUACUUGUGGGGAACUCUCUUUGGAUCUGCUCCUUUUGUGCUGAGUGACCUCUAAUGUAAACAGAGCCUUUCUCUCAAUUAAUGGCCUUUGUUUCCAUGCUGUAUUCCUUUAAGAUCAAUAAAGUAUAUUAACGUUAA